AUGUCGGUUAGAGAGGCGCUCCACAAUGGAAGAUGGAUGCUUGGGUUACAGAGAAUGACAACGGAAGGGCAGCUCAAUCAGUUCGUCCGGCUUUGGGAGGAACUUCAAUCGAUCCAGCUCACGGACAGCAAAGACAAGAUCCUCUGGACCCUGACUGCUAAUCGAAAAUACUCUGCCGUCUCUGCUUAUGACGCCCACUUUGUGGCAAGGAUCAACAAGUCUGGGCUGGCCCAAGUGUGGAGGGGCAAGAUGGAAGGAAAAGUUAAAUUCUACUUAUGGUUGCUGCUGCAAAACAGAAAUUGGACGGCGGAUCGUCUGCAAGCGAGGGGAUUGCCGCACAAUGACCUAUGUUGCCUUUGUGAUCAAGAAAAGGAGACGGCCGAACACAUCACCCUGGCCUGCUGCUUUGUGAAAGAGGUUUGGCUCCAGUUCCAGCAAGCUGACGACAGGAUGGGCAUGAUGGCCUCCUCGGCAACCUCCAUUGGAGAUUGGUGGUCUCGGCUAUGCACAUGCGAUGGAACCAAGGACAAGAACAGAGAUGAAAUCACACUAGCUGCUUACAUAGUGUGGAACCUGUGGAAAGAAAGAAACCGUAGGGUCUUUGAGCAGAAGGAGCUGACGCCGACUGCACUUGCUGACUGA
rnacentral:rRNA from 1 species